rnacentral:rRNA from 1 species
AUUGAACGCUGGCGGCAUGCCUUACACAUGCAAGUCGAACGGUAACAGGUCUUCGGAUGCUGACGAGUGGCGAACGGGUGAGUAAUACAUCGGAACGUGCCCGAGAGUGGGGGAUAACGAGGCGAAAGCUUUGCUAAUACCGCAUACGAUCUCAGGAUGAAAGCAGGGGACCGCAAGGCCUUGCGCUCACGGAGCGGCCGAUGGCAGAUUAGGUAGGUGGUGGGAUAAAAGCUUACCAAGCCGACGAUCUGUAGCUGGUCUGAGAGGACGACCAGCCACACUGGGACUGGUACACGGCCCAGACUCCUAAGGGAGGCAGCAGGGGGGAAUUUUGGACAAUGGGCGCAAGCCGGAUCCAGCCAUGCCGCGUGCAGGAUGAAGGCCUUCGGGUUGUAAACUGCUUUUGUACGGAACGAAAAGACUCUGGUUAAUACCUGGGGUCCAUGACGGUACCGUAAGAAUAAGCACCGGCUAACUACGUGCCAGCAGCCGCCGUAACAC